rnacentral:rRNA from 1 species
GAACCUGAAACCGUGUACGUACAAGCAGUGGGAGCACAGAGCAAUCUGUGUGACUGCGUACCUUUUGUAUAAUGGGUCAGCGACUUAUAUUCUGUAGCAAGGUUAACCGAAUAGGGGAGCCGAAGGGAAACCGAGUCUUAACUGGGCGUUAAGUUGCAGGGUAUAGACCCGAAACCCGGUGAUCUAGCCAUGGGCAGGUUGAAGGUUGGGUAACACUAACUGGAGGACCGAACCGACUAAUGUUGAAAAAUUAGCGGAUGACUUGUGGCUGGGGGUGAAAGGCCAAUCAAACCGGGAGAUAGCUGGUUCUCCCCGAAAGCUAUUUAGGUAGCGCCUCGUGAAUUCAUCUCCGGGGGUAGAGCACUGUUUCGGCAAGGGGGUCAUCCCGACUUACCAACCCGAUGCAAACUGCGAAUACCGGAGAAUGUUAUCACGGGAGACACACGGCGGGUGCUAACGUCCGUCGUGAAGAGGGAAACAACCCAGACCGCCAGCUAAGGUCCCAAAGUCAUGGUUAAGUGGGAAACGAUGUGGGAAGGCCCAGACAGCCAGGAUGUUGGCUUAGAAGCAGCCAUCAUUUAAAGAAAGCGUAAUAGCUCACUGGUCGAGUCGGCCUGCGCGGAAGAUGUAACGGGGCUAAACCAUGCAC